GCUGGCUUCUGCUUCUUGUCUUCGCUGGGCUCUGCUGGUUUCCCGGAGGUGUCUUCCAGGACAAGGAGUUGAGAAGCCGAGUGAUGAGAGCAACGGGAAAAGCUGCUCCGCAGACGUGUCCGAGGGAUAGAAGCAGGUUCCUCCCAGGUGGAGACGUUUGCCGGGUCCACGCGGUUCUCCACCCUCCCUGGACAUCUCAGGCCUGAUGGAAGAGGAAGCACUUGUACCUACUGGGCUCACACUCCGUGCAGGGCCAUGUGCUGCCACAUCUCGUUCCCCAUCCAUGCUAGGGGGCUGGUGCUGGUGUCUUCACCACACUAACUGGGACGUGGCAGUUCCUUGCCAUGCAGCUCUUAAGCACAGCAGCGGCUCUGCAUGAGGACUAAGGGGUCCCACAUGCGCACACUGCAUAAGGGGGGCGGUCAGGAGUGGAAUGAGGGGCAUCUGAAGCAAGCACAACAUGUAAGGUGUUGCUGGCUACCAUAGGAACAUUUUAAAAUAGCAUUUAAUGUUUGUUAUGAUUGCAAAUGCAGUGCAAAUUGAUCAUGAAAAAAUGUUUGAUACUAAUAAACCACAAAAAAGUAAAGGAGCAA